rnacentral:rRNA from 1 species
CGGGUUUCCCAUGCGUCGACGGGUAGCCGGCCUGAGAGGGUGACCGGCCACACUGGGACUGAGACACGGCCCAGACUCCUACGGGAGGCAGCAGUGGGGAAUAUUGCACAAUGGGCGAAAGCCUGAUGCAGCAACGCCGCGUGAGGGAUGACGGCCUUCGGGUUGUAAACCUCUUUUAGCAGGGAAGAAGCGAAAGUGACGGUACCUGCAGAAAAAGCGCCGGCUAACUACGUGCCAGCAGCCGCGGUAAUACGUAGGGCGCAAGCGUUAUCCGGAAUUAUUGGGCGUAAAGAGCUCGUAGGCGGUCUGUCGCGUCUGCUGUGAAAUCCCGAGGCUCAACCUCGGGCCUGCAGUGGGUACGGGCAGACUAGAGUGCGGUAGGGGAGAUUGGAAUUCCUGGUGUAGCGGUGGAAUGCGCAGAUAUCAGGAGGAACACCGAUGGCGAAGGCAGAUCUCUGGGCCGUAACUGACGCUGAGGAGCGAAAGGGUGGGGAGCAAACAGGCUUAGAUACCCUGGUAGUCCACCCCGUAAACGUUGGGAACUAGUUGUGGGGUCCUUUCCACGGAUUCCGUGACGCAGCUAACGCAUUAAGUUCCCCGCCUGGGGAGUACGGA